rnacentral:rRNA from 1 species
AUUGAACGCUGGCGGCAUGCCUUACACAUGCAAGUCGAACGGUAACGCGGGGCAACCUGGCGACGAGUGGCGAACGGGUGAGUAAUGCGUCGGAACGUGCCGAGUAGUGGGGGAUAACGCAGCGAAAGUUGUGCUAAUACCGCAUACGUACUGAGGUAGAAAGUGGGGGACCUUCGGGCCUCACGCUAUUCGAGCGGCCGACGUCUGAUUAGCUAGUAGGUGAGGUAAAGGCUCACCUAGGCGACGAUCAGUAGCGGGUCUGAGAGGAUGAUCCGCCAGACUGGGACGGGGACACGGCCCAGACUCCUACGGGAGGCAGCAGUGGGGAAUUUUGGACAAUGGGCGAAAGCCUGAUCCAGCCAUGCCGCGUGUCUGAAGAAGGCCUUCGGGUUGUAAAGGACUUUUGUCAGGGAGGAAAUCCCUAGUGCUAAUAACACUGGGGGAUGACAGUACCUGAAGAAUAAGCACCGGCUAACUACGCGCCAGCAGCCGCCGUAACAC